GGAUAAAGGCUUUGGGAAUGUGGCAUCCUCGGAUGUGUUAUAGCUUUUUACCGUAUACAGUGGUUGGGACUGAGGAACUCAGCACGCCGCAAGGCCGGGUUUUUAACCACGUUCGUGCUUAGGAUGCUGGCAUAAUGGCUUUAAUCGA
rnacentral:rRNA from 1 species